rnacentral:lncRNA from 1 species
UUUUUUUUUUUUGCUAUUUCUUUGGGCCGCUCCCGCGGCAUAUGGAGGUUCCCAGGGUAGAGGUCGAAUCGGAGCUGUAGCCACGGGCCUACCCCAGAGCCACAGCAACGCGGGAUCCGAGCCGCGUCUGCAACCUACACCACAGCUCACAGCAACGCCGGAUCCUUAACCCACUGAGCAAGGGCAGGGACCGAACCCGCAACCUCAUGGUUCCUAGUCAGAUUCGUUAACCACUGCGCCACGACGGGAACUCCUCACUCUCUGGUUCUUAAAGGACUCAGGCACCCCAUCAACUGCAACAGACUCAACAGACCCUUUGGUUAUUCCAGCCGAGGCUGCAGCCAGGCCUUUGACCGAGACAAAUACCCCAGGAGGGACGCGCCAAGUGACUCGCCAAGGGAGGGGAGUAAACCGGCAGGAGCAGGUCCUCGAUUGUCCACCAAGGACCGAAUUCAUCUGUGGUCAGAGCAUCAUCCGGGCCCAGCAGGGCGAUGCCUCGGAAGAUGCCUCCACGACCCACAGCCGCGAGCUCCACCCCAACCCCAGGCCACCGGGCUCGCCAAGGCCUUGGCCCAAGCGGAAUGGAGAGUGAGGGCAUGUGGCGAAGGCGAGUCCAUCCGCGGGAAAUCGAAGAGGAAGAGGAAACUUGCCAUGCUGAGAGCAAAUUCACCCCCUCACAACACUCACUGACUCACGUACCCACCAAGAUGGCAUGUUCUUUGAAGCACGCUGUCACCCUGAAAGUGACUCUCUGGGGUCACAUGCCGAUGCCAGAAGCAACUCUCCUGGGCUUAGAAGAACGUGAAAAGCUCUCAUGGGCCACAUAGCUUUGGCGUGCCUCCGACAGUACCAGAAACAUCUUUUGAUAUCCUGAGCUAUUACGCUAUCCCCUCCUUUGGAAAAAAUAGGACAAUCCAAACCCCUUGCAGGAGAUGGUAUGUCCCUAGUGGAGGAGGGACAAUCAUAAAACAUGAGAAGGGGGAGGGGCCAGAAGGAAGUGUCUAGAAUGAUGCACAGUCUUAACUACUUUUCUCCACCUAACUCACUUCGUCACUCACAAAUACACUUGGUGGCAGCUGCUGAAGUCAAAGGCGGAACUUGGGGAUGGGGAUGGGGACUCGAGCUGGCCCACGUGCCUGUCCAGCCGUGACAUGAUGUGGGUCACCUGGGUGCGGGGCCCAGGUAUCGGAGCUGACCAGGUAUGGAAGGAGCCCUGUCGAGGAGGCUUUGGGGCUGGAGGGAUGGACCUGGGGCUCCAGCUAGAGAUUUAAUAGCAGUCCCUCUGCAGCCCAGGAUGUAGUCAGGAUCAGGAACACUGGUUUCACAGCCAGAAGUCUGAUCAUCUCUUUCUCCCUUUUUCAUUGAAAAAGAAAAUAUCUAAGAUACUGGAGAAUACAGUAAAAUCCUUAACUCCAUUUCCUCCUCCCACCCCUGCGCGCUCUGUCUCUCUCUCUCUCGCUCUUUUUCUUUCCUGGCGGCAAGGCUGGAUAAGCUUAUCAAGUGCAGGCAAACUACAUCGUAGCUCUGAUCCUUUCGAGAAAUCCAUUUGGCGCCUUUAACGUUUCAUUUGGCAGAUUGAAUUUCAGACAUGUAUUUAUGGGGCUGGGUUUGCCCUUAACAGAGUAUUGCAUAAAUCCCAUUACAGUAUCCACUUUAGCGUGUUUGGGGUUUUCUAAGCCAGGGCUUUAUUUAAGUGGACAGCCCCGGAAUGACCUGCUCUGGCUCAGAAACUCUCUCCUCUUCCUCCUUGCAGAUUAUCUCCAUCAUCAUCAAUGUCAAGUGAAGUUUUAGGAAAAAUCCUUUCAGCACAGCCGAGAACAAGCCCUGUUCCAGCCUUGGCGACCGGGCGUCAUCACCCUCUGGUGAAUUAGGGGGUUCCCUUCCAAGAACCACCCCACCCCACCCCACCCCACAUCCCUCUUUCUUCUGGCCAUAGCCAGGGAAGGGGUGGAAACGAUACGAAGCUGAUUUGGUAUUUCUUCAAUUUCCUACAAGAAAGGCACAUUACUUGUAAUUUCUGGAACAAAAGAAUCACAAAGAAAAGUGAGCUAGAGGGAAAAAAUGGGGAAAGAAGAGAUCUGGGUUAGGAAGCCUGAGCGAGCCGGCUCCUCUCUUUAACCCUGAGGGAGAAAAUGGAAUGAGCAGCCCCCACGACGUGCCCGCACUCGUAACUAAGAGGGAUGCUGAGACGGUGCCCAGUGCGUGGGUACCCAGGCUGCCAGACCUUGCAUCCGAUGCACAUACGCUGGUUUCCUUUCCUAGCCGGCCCUCCGGGGGGCUGGACAGGCCAUUUACCUUACAGGUGGCCAGGCAGGGACGCCGCUAAGAGGCCCCUGGAGUAGGCAGCUCAGGGGUCCAGCGUGGCAUGUGACACACGGGGGUCCACCAGGCUGAAGCAUUACUGGGUGAGGGGCCCUUUCCAUCCUCCCAGGACCCAUGCUGGAAGCACAGGCAGAGCUGUCCGAUCACACUGAUUUUCACAUCAGUUGGCUCAAGAGCAGAAAGGCGAGGGAGGUGGUUGGUGAUGGGACCACCUCAGAAAGCCAGGAGAAGCUAAAGGAGCACCACCUGACCCUCUGGGACCCUCUCUUCCCCAGGCAGCACCCCCCCAUCCACGGAGCCUGGCAGCCCAGUCCCUUGUCACUUCAUUCUAUCACACAAGCAAGCUUUACGAAAAUGCAACGGCAGCUGCAGUAAAUGAAGAAAUACCCAUGACGAGGGGCCCAGGGGCUAUUUCAGGCUGCCUCUGUCGGAUGGCAGCUGCGCCUUUGGUUACAUCUAAGUUUGGCCUCAGAGCCUGUGCAGGUAAACUGUUCCUGAUGAGGAAAAAGAAAAUGUCGGGAACUGUCAUGGACCCAUUCCAAAAAAUAUUUGCCAAGUUCCUGCCUUACACCAGGCUCUAGGCGAGGGGCUGACGUCCAGGCAGGAGCCGCACAGAGCACGCCCGCCCGCCAGAGAUGAUGGUCUGGGGAGGGACACGCAGACAGCAGAUGUGGGGCCAGGGGAGAGAGUUGGUGGCCAACAACCAAUGGCACAGCCGAGACAGCAUGGCUUCUCCAGAUAAGACCAACAGGUGGCCAGAGGGAAUCCAGAGUACCAAACACCCAGCACCCUCUCUCCAGGGCUUCAUCUUCUCAAAUCUCUCAUCUGCUUCUUUUUCUUCCUGUCUCACUUGCCUGUGAGUGGCUGGGGACAGAAGCUGGUCCCUGCUGGCAACCACAAUGCCCUUUGGCCUUUCAGAAAGUUCACCGUGGCUCUGACAUUGGUAUCACCAGCCUAGAGACAUGGCAGCUGGCACAUACUAGGGGCUCAGCCAAGGCCUGCUCAACUGCAUUUGAUCACCUUAUUUAAAGCUACUGCAAUCACUCCCAGCUUUUAAGCUAUGGGCUGGGAACAAGGUCAUUCUAUAAAAAUGGAAAGCAGAAAGGUACCCUGAGGAAUUUGUUGGAGUUAGAGGUAAGAAUCCAGAAAGGCAUCUAUUCAAAUGACAACAGAACUAAGGCAUGGCCUCAAUAUACUAUGAUUAAAUGAGAUGUGCUGAAGAAUUACGUAACAGCUCAGAAGCACAAUUUAAGUCUCCACUGGCGCUUGCCUCUUUGUAAAAUUAGCAUUUCUGUUAAGCUCAUAAUAUAGGAGCAUGGGGUUUUAUAUAACUGCUCAGGUCACACGGGGAAAUGAAGACAUACUCCCUUCUCUUUCUAACGCUUGUGCUUCCCAGAGAGAACGGUCUAGAAGGCCACGUGAGACGGCUGAUCAGAAUAACAACAAUAACGAUAACUGGCUCUUUUGUGUACAUCCUGGUUGCCAGACCCAGGCUCAACGAUCCCACUGCACUAUCUCAUUUAAUCCGCAUAAGACCCUUCUCUGACAGGCAAGUAUUACAGGUCCCAUUUUACAGAGAGGCAAACCCAGUGAAGCCAGGCCCUGAAUGCAGGUCAUGGGACUACCGGUCAUGUGACUCAGUCCCUGGGUCACAUUUACAACACUGUGCCACAAACUACACCAAAGAUGAUGUCAAGGAU